rnacentral:rRNA from 1 species
UGGGGAAUAUUGCACAAUGGGCGCAAGCCUGAUGCAGCAACGCCGCGUGAACGAUGAAGGUCUUCGGAUCGUAAAGUUCUGUUGCAGGGGAAGAUAAUGACGGUACCCUGUGAGGAAGCCCCGGCUAAGUACGUGCCAGCAGCCGCGGUAAUACGUAGGGGGCUAGCGUUAUCCGGAUUUACUGGGCGUAAAGGGUGCGUAGGUGGUCUUUCAAGUCGGUGGUUAAAGGCUACGGCUCAACCGUAGUUAGCCUCCGAAACUGGAAGACUUGAGUGCAGGAGAGGAAAGUGGAAUUCCCAGUGUAGCGGUGAAAUGCGUAGAUAUUGGGAGGAACACCAGUAGCGAAGGCGGCUUUUUGGCCUGCAACUGACACUGAGGCGCGAAAGCGUGGGGAGCAAACAGG